UUUAAUAAUCAAGGUCGAGAACCUUAAAAAAUUAACA
rfam:Polaribacter sp. Hel1_33_78 genome assembly, chromosome: I